rnacentral:lncRNA from 1 species
CUCAUUUUGGAAAGAAGCUGAAGCACUGUGGUAUCAAAUCCUAUUUCAAGAAAUAGAAGGAGAAAACAACAAAACAACAUGACUACUACCUCUGCCUCCAAUCCCUAAUGGAACUUGAGUUUACCCAUCCUGUGGCUACUGUCUACACAUUUGAGAUAUCCUGUCCAUUAAUACUGCUGCUUCCUUGAGGGCAGAUAUCUAUGGGAGAAAGAACAAAUUCCAGGUGGAAAGCAUGGGCCCAAAGGCCAGUUUACGG